rnacentral:rRNA from 1 species
AUUGAACGCUGGCGGCAUGCUUUACACAUGCAAGUCGAACGGCAGCGCGGGGCAACCUGGCGGCGAGUGGCGAACGGGUGAGUAAUAUAUCGGAACGUACCCAGAAGUGGGGGAUAACGUAGCGAAAGUUACGCUAUAACCCAAUACGACCUCGGAUGAAAAGGGGGGGUUGGCAGGACUCAUGGCUUUUGAGGCGGCGAUAUCUGAUUAGCUAGUUGGUAGGGUAAAGGCCUACCAAGGCGACGAUCAGUAGCUGGUCUGAGAGGACGACCAGCCACACUGGGACUGAGACACGGCCCAGACUCCUACGGGAGGCAGCAGUGGGGAAUUUUGGACAAAGGGCGCAAGCCUGAUCCAGCAAUGCCGCGUGAGUGAAGAAGGCCUUCGGGUUGUAAAGCUCUUUUGUCAGGGAAGAAACGGCCGAGGCUAAUACCUUUGGCUAAUGACGGUACCUGAAGAAUAAGCACCGGCUAACUACGUG